UGCAGAAUCCCGUGAACCAUCGAGUCUUUGAACGCAAGUUGCGCCCCAAGCCUUUUGGCCGAGGGCACGUCUGCCUGGGUGUCACAAAUCGUCGUCCCCCAUCCUCUUAAGGAUACGGGACGGAAGCUGGUCUCCCGUGUUUUACCGAAUGCGGUUGGCCAAAAUCUGAGCUAAGGACGCCAGGAGUGUCUCGACAUGCGGUGGUGAAUUCAAGCCUCUUUAGUUUGUCGGCCGCUCUUGUCUGGAAGCUCUUGAUGACCCAAAGUCCUCAACGCGACCCCAGGUCAGGCGAGAUCACCCGCUGAGUUUAAGCAUAUCAAUAAGCGGAGGAAAAGAAACUAACUAGGAUUCCCUUAGUAACGGCGAGCGAACCGGGAAGAGCCCAGCUUGAAAAUCGGAUGUCUUUGGCGUUCGA
rnacentral:rRNA from 1 species